UCUACGGAUGAAAGCGGGGGACCUUCGGGCCUCGCGCUAUAGGGUUGGCCGAUGGCUGAUUAGCUAGUUGGUGGGGUAAAGGCCUACCAAGGCGACGAUCAGUAGCUGGUCUGAGAGGACGACCAGCCACACUGGGACUGAGACACGGCCCAGACUCCUACGGGAGGCAGCAGUGGGGAAUUUUGGACAAUGGGCGAAAGCCUGAUCCAGCAAUGCCGCGUGUGUGAAGAAGGCCUUCGGGUUGUAAAGCACUUUUGUCCGGAAAGAAAUCCUUGGCCCUAAUACGGUCGGGGGAUGACGGUACCGGAAGAAUAAGCACCGGCUAACUACGUGCCAGCAGCCGCGGUAAUACGUAGGGUGCGAGCGUUAAUCGGAAUUACUGGGCGUAAAGCGUGCGCAGGCGGUUUGCUAAGACCGAUGUGAAAUCCCCGGGCUCAACCUGGGAACUGCAUUGGUGACUGGCAGGCUAGAGUAUGGCAGAGGGGGGUAGAAUUCCACGUGUAGCAGUGAAAUGCGUAGAGAUGUGGAGGAAUACCGAUGGCGAAGGCAGCCCCCUGGGCCAAUACUGACGCU
rnacentral:rRNA from 1 species